UACGGGGGGAGCAAGCGUUGUUCGGAUUUACUGGGCGUAAAGGGCGCGUAGGCGGCACCGCAAGUCGACUGUGAAAUCUCCGGGCUUAACUCGGAACGGUCAAGUGAUACUGUCGGACUAGAGUACAGAAGGGGCAACUGGAAUUCUCGGUGUAGCGGUGAAAUGCGUAGAUAUCGAGAGGAACACCUGCGGCGAAGGCGGGUUGCUGGGCUGAUACUGACGCUGAGGCGCGAAAGCCAGGGGAGCGAACGGG
rnacentral:rRNA from 1 species